UCUUCCAGGAUUGAUGCGUGUGUCCG
rnacentral:sRNA from 1 species